UACGGAGGGGGCUAGCGUUGUUCGGAAUUACUGGGCGUAAAGCGCGCGUAGGCGGACCUGCAAGUCGGGGGUGAAAGCCCGAGGCUCAACCUCGGAACUGCCUUCGAUACUGCGUGGCUAGAGGUAGGUAGGGGAGAUCGGAAUUCCUGGUGUAGCGGUGAAAUGCGCAGAUAUCGGGAGGAACACCAGUGGCGAAGGCGGCACUCUGGGCCGGUACUGACGCUGAGGAGCGAAAGCGUGGGGAGCGAACAGG
rnacentral:rRNA from 1 species